UACGUAGGGCGCAAGCGUUGUCCGGAAUUAUUGGGCGUAAAGAGCUCGUAGGCGGCUUGUCACGUCGAUUGUGAAAGCCCGAGGCUUAACCUCGGGUCUGCAGUCGAUACGGGCUAGCUAGAGUGUGGUAGGGGAGAUCGGAAUUCCUGGUGUAGCGGUGAAAUGCGCAGAUAUCAGGAGGAACACCGGUGGCGAAGGCGGAUCUCUGGGCCAUUACUGACGCUGAGGAGCGAAAGCCAGGGGAGCAAACGGG
rnacentral:rRNA from 1 species